UCUUUUUCCUAUUUUUAAAUUAUGUUAUUUAUCUUAUUAUUAGUUGUAAGAGUUCUUUGUAUAUUCUAGAGACAGGGACUUUAUCAAAUUUCUUCUUCCAGGUGGAAGCUUGUCUUUUCAUUUUCCUAACAAUGGCUUUGAAGAGAAGUUUAAAAAUACUUUAAUAUAUAUGUGGUCCAAUUUACCAGUUUUAUCAUUAGUGCUUAUGUCCCUUUAUGAAAUGUUUGCCUAACCCAAGAUAACCCCCUUUUUCCUAUUUUUCUAACAAUAUCUUAAAUUUUAUUGUCUGCAUUUACAUGCUUUAUCAUUAGCAUUUGCCUUUUCCCAUUUCUUAGUAGGAGAAACCUCUGGAACUUAUUAAGUAGACAGUGGCAGAAAAAUAAUUUCAAAAGUCUUUAGAUCACUACAAAAUUAAUAAGCAAUAAUAUUUUACUCUGCAACUACAAGCUAUUUUUUUCUAUUUUUAAAAGAAGUUUUUUAUAAUUUUAGGUUUUACAUUUGGAGCUAUGAACCAUUUUGAAUUCAUGUUUUGUAUAUGGUGUGAGGUAAAGAUACUUUUUUGUAUAUGGAUGUCUCCUAUAGAUCGAAAGUUUGCAUAAUCCCAAAAUUCAAGUGUUAAAUCCUAAUGCCCAAUGUGAUGUUAUUUGGAGGCGGCACCUUUGGGAGGUGAUUAGGCCAUGCGGGUGGAGCCCUCAUGAGUGGGAUUAGUUCCAUUUUAAAAGAGAGCUCCCUUACCCCUUCUGACGUAUGAAAACAUCUGUUUAUGAACCAGGAAUCAAACCCUCACUAGAGACCAAAUCUGCCAGCGCCUUAAUCUUGGACUUCCCAGCCUCCAGAACUGUGAGAAAUAAAUGUUGUUUAAGCCACCCAGUCGGUGGUAUUUUUGUUAGAGCAGCCUGAACUAAGACAACAUCCAAUUAUUCCAGUAGCGUUUGUCGUCUUUCUCCAUUGAAUUACUUUGGGACUUUUUUAAAAAAUGAAUUGACCAUAUACAAGUGGGCUUCUUUCUGGACUGUUUUAUUCCCUUGAUCUCUAUGUCUAUCUUUACGCCAAUACUACACAAUCUUGAUUACUGCAGCUUUAUAGUUAGUCUUGAAAUCAGGCAGUGAGUCCUCCAACUUUGUUUUUCAUUUUCAAAAUAUUUUGGCUAUGCUAUGUCCUUUGCUUUUCCAUAUAACUUUUAGAAUCUCAGUUUGCUGGGAUUUUUAUUGGGAUAGCAUUGCAUUUAUAGGUCAAUUUUUGAGAGAAUCACCAUAUUAACACUAUUGAGUCUCUAAUCCAUGAACAGUGUAUCUCUCUAAACUCAGGACCCCUGAUUCAACCAUAAUUUAAGUAUAUGUGUCAAGUACAGUGUAAAGGAUAUGAGGAUGAAUAAAAAAGAUUUUGUUUUGAGAAAGGAGCGUACUGGUAGAUUAAAUAAAAAUGUCUAACCUUAAGAGUUCUUAAUAGUUUUAAGAGCACUAUUACCUUUUGCAGUUGGAACUGGUUUGGAAUGGGAAGGGAUAUUUUCAGCUUGAAACUUAGUUGUGUAACCCUCUGUGAUUAUUUGUGGACAAGUCCCUUGAUUUUGUGUAGCAAGCCAGCCAGGAGACUUUUUAGAGAGAAAACUCACACUAAGAAUGGUAUGUUAGUUUAGAUAUGGUUUCCCUGGGGUACUGUGGUGUGGUGUUCAGUUCAAAUCACUAUCCAUUGUCUGGUCCAUAGAUUAGUCUCAGGACACAGCCCCCAGUGGACUCAAAAUAUCAGAGCCCUAUGAAGAAAAAAGAAACUAUAAGCAAAUAUAAAGUGAACUAAAAGUAUUGAUGACUACAUUGCUAAGAACUGCGUUAUACAGUGAGGCCCAAGCAGCCCUGGGACAGUACCACUUGGGUAGGUACAACUCUGAAAUUGAGAGAAGGGCUUUAUCCACACUCAUAUAGGAGUCAAAUAGAGGCUUUGGCCCUUUAGGGACUAUGAAGAAUCAGAAGGGCUCUGUCACCAAGAGGACCCAUCACACCAAUAGCUGUCAGCAUAGGGUACAGGGCACAGCAGAACAGGAGUGCCCAGAAGAUACAGUAGUAUCCAGAGAAGGGUGGCACCCUCUUCUCAGCUGCUUGGACUUGUUCCUGGGAACAGGUAAGUUCUAACUUCAACCCUUCCCUGAGUGUCUGACAGGGUCCAAGGACUGACUGCUACAUAGGAGCCAGCCCUACACGGUUUACAUACUCAGUACCUCAUCUGAUCCACUCAGCAGUCGCGAGGGAAAAGUGGAGAUGAGUGAGCAAAGAAAAAGAAUCACACGUGGUGGGAGCCACAGGACAGUAGAAGACCCAGGAGAAGGGGUGGCAGUGCCCACUGACACGGUUAGAACGAGGGGAAGGCAUGGGGAUGCGCACUCGCAGAGGAAUGGCAUGGGGGCACCUAACCAUCAGGUGAUUGGACUCAUUUUUGAGCACAGGCGAGACCUAUUUUUGGCUACCAUGCAGGAAAAACCAUUGCCUACUUUUUAGUGCACACACUCUCAGAGUUUUCUCUAUGCACAAAUGCAUUAUGCAAACAUAUUUAUAUUUUUACAAAAACGGGCUGAUGCUGUGUAUGCGGUUCUGAAAACUGUUUUUUCUUUAUUGUUAUUUUACAAUAUACCACAAACAUCUCUUCCAUGCACAUGGGUGAAAAUCCCCCACUGACAGACAGAGCACUGUAGUUGGAUCAAAAGGCUGCUGGUAACAAGAGUGACACCUAAAGCA